AGGAUAAACGCUGGCGGCGUGCCUAACACAUGCAAGUCGAACGUCCUACGCAAGUAGGGAGUGGCGGACGGGUGAGUAACACGUGGGCAAUCUACCUUUCGGUGAGGAAUACCGGCGAGAAAUCGCCGACAAUACCGCAUACGCUUCGCAAGAAGCAAAGUCGCAAGACGCCGGAGGAGGAGCCUGCGCCCGAUUAGCUGGUUGGUGAGGUAACAGCUCACCAAGGCGUCGAUCGGUAGCUGGUCUGAGAGGAUGAUCAGCCACACUGGGAUUGAGAACGGCCCAGACUCCUACGGGGGGCAGCAGUGAGGAAUUUUCGUCAAUGGGGGAAACCCUGAACGAGCAACGCCGCGUGCAGGAUGACGCUUCUCGGAGUGUAAACUGCUUUUCGUCGGGGAAGAGAACGGACGGUACCCGAGGAAUCACGCCCCGGCUAACUACGUGCCAGCAGCCGC
rnacentral:rRNA from 1 species